CGGCCCGCACCUCCGGGGCUAACGCCCUCUGUCCCUCUGCUCCUCUCGCCCUCUCUCUCUACAGCCCCGCUUCUUUCCCAUUUUUCUUCUUGCUCUAUCUUCUCUAGCCCUCUUAAGUAGGCACAUGUCAUCAACAGUUUUCUUCUGGUAUGAUCAAAGAACCAUACACAUUCACUCAAAUAAGAUGGAGAUCUGCAUAGUCAACAUCAAGAAGGGAUGAACUGACUGAAGGGAAAGUCGUGUGGAGACAGGAGGAUGGUCCUGUUUUGGCUUUGAAGAAUGACAGACUGGCAAAGUCUUACAACUGGAAUUUUGAAGGACACCAUAACAAAGAAAAAUUAACUUUUGCCUGACUAAGGGUUAUUUAAAUUGUAAAGUGCACACUCUGCAUAUGUUAACAAGCUCAAUUAAUUACAUGCUAUAACAUGUAUGACUAUUUUACAUAACUCACUACCUUU